rnacentral:lncRNA from 1 species
ACCCCUUGUACACACCUUGUACUUCUAUUGUACACCGUUUUUACAUCAUUUAUAUACCCUUUGUACAACCUUUCUAGACCCUUUGUACACCAUUUUUACACUCCUUAUACACCAUUUAUACUCCCUUUAUAAACCCUUUAUACACCCUUUGUACACCUUGUGUACAUCAUUUAUAUACCUUUUGUACACUCUUUGUAUACCAUUUCUAUAUUUCUCUAUAUCUUGGGACACCCUUUGUACACCUACGUACACCCUUAAUAAAUCCUUUGUACACCUUUUGUUCACCAUUUCUAUAUCUAUCUACAUAUUGGUACACCUUUUAUACAUGUUUUAUACACCCUUUGUACAUCCUUUAUACACCUUUUAUACAUCAUUCAUACACCU